UGGAGGUAUUACAAUCCCAGAUUUCAAGAUAUACAAGAAAGUUACAGUAAUCAAAACAGGAGGAAGAGAGGGAAAGAAGGAGCUGGAGAUGUCAAAGUUUUAGUUAGGGAAGACAGAAGUGAGGAAGAGAUUUUACAUAUCUGGAACUGAAAAAGUCUCCACCGAGCCUAGUAGUUAUCGAAACACUGAUCAAGUUUUGUUGUUGAAACAGGUUACAGAAAUCUGAUCAACUGUACUAAGAUCAUGAAGGGGACAGAUUUUGGAAAUAGGUUUUUUUUUUUUUUUUUUUGGAAAGAGGAAGAUCUACAAUCAAAGAACUCUCCAUCUCUCAAGCAAAGCAUCGUUUCUGUUUUCUGGAUUGGCUCAGUGUUCUCUGGCCAGUGGGUUUCCUUGAAGCUGUGUCUCUUAAUGGCCAUCACCGCAGCAGAAGCCAGCUGUGAGAGCAGACACCAGCUCGUUCCAGAUGUGGAAUGCUACACAGAAGCACCAGAGGGCAAGUUUUAAGAGCUGAGGAUAGGGAUGCAGUAAAGAGAUUUUAAAAUCUUUAGUCUAUUCGGUCUCAUCUGAAGCAUUCUAAAACGCAGGGUUCUCUACUUUGCACAAAG